GUCAGGUCUGUUUUGCUAAGAGUACCUCAUUAAAAAGAGAGAAAUCUUUAAAGCACAUUCCUCCUUCCUUUCUGCUCCAACAGAGAUUUUUCCAACUGAUCCAAUGAAUAUUGGACCUAUUAAAUGAGUUCCACCACUAAAAACGAGUUGCUUCCUACUGCAUUUCACUAAGAAUAACUUGAGGCAACUUGAAAACAUGCAUAAUAUAA
rnacentral:misc_RNA from 1 species